rnacentral:tRNA from 1 species
GCCCGGCUAACACAAUUGGUCAGUGUGUCAGACUUUUAAUCUGAAAGUUCUGGGUUCGAGUCCCAGGUCGGGCG